rnacentral:rRNA from 1 species
CCUACGGGUGGCAGCAGUGGGGAAUUGUUCGCAAUGGGCGCAAGCCUGACGACGCAACGCCGCGUGGAGGAUGAAGAUCUUCGGGUCGUAAACUCCUUUCGAUCGAGACGAACGGCUUCCGGGCUAAUCACCGGAAGAGUGACGGUACCGAGAGAAGAAGCCCCGGCUAACUCCGUGCCAGCAGCCGCGGUAAUACGGGGGGGGCAAGCGUUGUUCGGAAUUACUGGGCGUAAAGGGCUCGUAGGCGGCCAACUAAGUCAGACGUGAAAUCCCUCGGCUUAACCGGGGAACUGCGUCUGAUACUGGAUGGCUUGAGGUUGGGAGAGGGAUGCGGAAUUCCAGGUGUAGCGGUGAAAUGCGUAGAUAUCUGGAGGAACACCGGUGGCGAAGGCGGCAUCCUGGACCAAUUCUGACGCUGAGUGAGCGAAAGCCAGGGGAGCAAACGGGAUUAGAUACCCUGGUAGUC